rnacentral:rRNA from 1 species
UACAGAGGUGGCAAGCGUUGUUCGGAAUUACUGGGCGUAAAGGGCGCGUAGGCGGCCUUCUAAGUCGGACGUGAAAUCCCCAGGCUUAACUUGGGAACUGCGUCCGAUACUGGAGGGCUUGAAUGCGGGAGAGGGAUGUGGAAUUCCAGGUGUAGCGGUGAAAUGCGUAGAUAUCUGGAGGAACACCGGUGGCGAAGGCGGCAUCCUGGACCGACAUUGACGCUGAGGCGCGAAAGCUAGGGGAGCAAACGGG